UCACAGCGGCUGCGCUGCUCAGUUCGCAGCUGCUUCCUUCGCCGCUCCCCCAUCCACCUAACCGGUACACCACCCGCCCCCCAUUUACUACUGCAGCAGCGGCUCGCUUGGUUUUGUUGUUGUUCCUAGCUUUGCACUUACACUGGACCGUUGGCAAUGAAUUCGCGACAUAGCGCGCGCCUUUGUUUUUAAUUACGACACGUUAGCCCUCAGUGUGUGUGUGUGUGUCAGUUGGAUAGAAGCUUCAACUGUACUGACCAUCUUCAACACGAUGCCCCAUAUCCGUGACUACGACAACUAACGAGAACUCUAGCCGCACCAUCCAUCACUCGUUCCCUCCGCUCGCAACCAGCCAUUGCAAAAUGGUCUCGUUAGUUCAAACAUGAAAUCUAUAUCUUUUCAGAAGCUGACGAGUCGCGGUUCUUCUAAAACUUCUCGCCACUUCUCAACGAGCCGCUUUCCGAUACUCGUUUAUGAGGGAAGAAGUGUGGAAUGUGCAGUUUUCAAAACAGGUGGAACCAGUCCUAAUUCAAUACAUUAACUUAACUAAAUAUGUUGCAAUUAUAAAUAUAUAUAAGU